AUGUUAUCGUUUAUCUGGAGUCUGAGACAUCUUGCUGUUUUGGUAGCUGUUUAUCUUGUGUGUUCUAUCUAUGGACGCAUUUUGCGAGACAUGUUAUAUUGCAUGCUUUAUCGUCGUCGAGUUCUUAGUUCAGAUUUUGAGUCGUGUUUUUCAUAUAUACUCUAUUAUGAAUGCGAAAUAAUUUUUGGCAUUGUGAAGUUUUGUGGUUGGCAUACCCGCAGUUUCUUUCUUGCACGGCUUGUUAUGAAUUUCUUUGCAACGUUUUUAGUCUACUGCAUAGACGUUCAAGAGACACUGCUUUAUCAUUGUUGA
rnacentral:rRNA from 1 species